GAGAGAGCAGAGUCUCCAGCACCCAGCUGUGUGUCUCUGAAGAGUGACUGGUCCAUAGGUGAUUUUCCUAACUUCAGCAAUGGACCUGUGCCGUCUGACCCAAAGGUAAAGAGAGCAGAGUCUCCAGCACCCAGCUGUGUGUCUCUGAAGAGUGAUGCGUCCAUGGGUGAUUUUCCUAACUUCAGCAAUGGAACUGUGCCGUCUGACCCAAAGUGAGUGACGCAUCACACACUCAGAUUCUUUCAUUAUUGUAGGUGUGGAAGGGUGGAGGGUGCUGUUCUGUCAGUAAUGUAAGGUCUACUCCAUCUUCACUGUUUUAAGAUCAUUUGUAAGGUGUGUUAAUGAUGAUCACUGAGUGAUGAUGACAAUCAACAAUUCAACAAAACAACAAUGUGUGUGUGUGUUGCUGAAGGG